UUAUAAGUCAGCUUUGGCAGCACAUAAAUUGGAAUGAUACAGGGAUUGGCAUGGCUACUGCACUAGGAUGAUAUGCAUGUUAAUGUAAUGUUUCAUAUUUUU
ensembl:snRNA U6 U6 spliceosomal RNA